CUUAACACUGAGCGAGUGAAAAUGGCUGCCAUGCUCGCUAAGUCUGUCGCCAUUUGCCUCGUUUUAGGCAUCUUGAGCAGCCCAAAGACAGUUCAAGGCUGGAAAUCCAAGUGGUGCAGAACGGAUGCUCACUGCUCGCGAUAUGCUCCCUACUGCGGGGAGGGCAAAUGUCGCCCGGUGACAAAAUUCUGCAGAUCGGACGAAAAGGGUGUGGCUGCGUGUAACGCAUGCCACUGCGAGGGCCAUCACUGGAGCUGUACGGAAAUUGGCUGCGCGAAAAUUGUA